GAUGAACGCUGGCGGCGUGCCUAAUACAUGCAAGUCGAACGAAACUUCUUUAUCACCGAGUGCUUGCACUCACCGAUAAAGAGUUGAGUGGCGAACGGGUGAGUAACACGUGGGCAACCUGCCCAAAAGAGGGGGAUAACACUUAGAAACAGGAGCUAAUACCGCAUAACCAUAGUUACCGCAUGGUAACUAUGUAAAAGGUGGCUAUACUACCGCUUUUGGAUGGGCCCGCGGCGCAUUAGCUAGUUGGUAGGGUAAAGGCUUACCAAGGCAAUGAUGCGUAGCCGAAUUGAGAGGUUGAUCGGCCACAUUGGGACUGAGACACGGCCCAAACUCCUACGGGAGGCAGCAGUAGGGAAUCUUCCACAAUGGGCGAAAGCCUGAUGGAGCAACGCCGCGUGGGUGAAGAAGGUCUUCGGAUCGUAAAACCCUGUUGUUAGAGAAGAAAGUGAGUGAGAGUAACUGUUCACGUUUCGACGGUAUCUAACCAGAAAGCCACGGCUAACUACGUG
rnacentral:rRNA from 1 species